CCUACGGGAGGCAGCAGUGGGGAAUAUUGCGCAAUGGGCGAAAGCCUGACGCAGCGACGCCGCGUGAGGGAUGAAGGUCUUCGGAUCGUAAACCUCUGUCAGCAGGGAAGAACGGUCACUGUGCUAAUCAGCAGUGAAUUGACGGUACCUGCAAAGGAAGCACCGGCUAACUCCGUGCCAGCAGCCGCGGUAAUACGGAGGGUGCGAGCGUUAAUCGGAAUUACUGGGCGUAAAGCGCUCGUAGGCGGUCUGUCAAGUCAAGGGUGAAAUCCCCGGGCUCAACGUGGGAACUGCCUUUGAAACUGGCAAACUGGAGUGUGUGAGAGGAUAGUGGAAUUCCAGGUGUAGGGGUGAAAUGCGUAGAGAUCUGGAGGAACAUCAGUGGCGAAGGCGACUAUCUGGCACAUAACUGACGCUGAGGAGCGAAAGCGUGGGUAGCAAACAGGAUUAGAUACCCUGGUAGUC
rnacentral:rRNA from 1 species